GACAACGAUGAUGAACCCUACAGACCUGUAAUGAUUAUUGCAGAUAUGAUUGCAUAAUCAAAGAACAUCUAAGGGACUGAGUUGUC
rfam:Musa acuminata subsp. malaccensis Doubled-haploid Pahang (DH-Pahang) genomic chromosome, chr4